UUAGUCCUAAUUCAUGUUUUGUUAUGCUUUUCAGGAGAUAUGAUGUCAUAAGAACAGCCAACAGCCAUAUAAACAGAGAAGAGCUGUUGUAUUUGCUUCGUGGUGGCCGGCUUGAUGACAAGAUGGAAGAGACAUUGUUGGAAACGCUUCAGCAAGAGGCAUAUGACAAAAAAUUUGGAAUCGUCUCUGUGUACUUUCUUCACUCACUCUAUG